ACAGCAAGAAAGGGAGACAAGAGAGGUGCUUCAUCUGCAACACAGAGAAUGCAUACUAAAAGAGAGGCUCAGAUGGAUGCUGAGUACACUUCUGAGGGCCCUUCAGCUUGGCAAAACGUGUAUAGGAUGAUGCAUUGUCCCGGACUACCAUGCCAACACCAAGGACAGUACUGCUGGCAAGACCCAGUGGGGAAAAAGCACUACAAACUCAGGACUCGCCAUCUGACAAACCUUGACAAGUACGUGGAGCAAGGCAGUAUCCUAGAGACGCAUGAAGAUAUCCCUGAUAUGCUCCGAGAGCAACUGUAUGCGGAGGAGCAGCAGCGAUUUGAAAGACAACAAAGGGG
rnacentral:sRNA from 2 species